rnacentral:tRNA from 1 species
GCCGGGGUAGCUCAGUCGGUAGAGCACGGGACUGAAAAUCCCGGUGUCCGCAGUUCGAUUCUGCGCCCCGGCA